rnacentral:tRNA from 1 species
UGUAGCUCAAAGGAAUAGCGCACUGGCCCCAUAUGCCAGAGGAAGCGGGUUCAAACCCGCCA